GAUAAACGCUAGCGGCAGGCUUAACACAUGCAAGUCGAGGGGCAGCAUAGAUUGUAGCAAUACAAUUGGUGGCGACCGGCGCACGGGCGCGUAACGCGUAUGCAACCUACCCGUCACAGGGGGAUAAUCCGGAGAAAUCUGGUCUAAUACCCCAUAACAUAUGGAUCGGCAUCGGUUCAUGUUGAAAUUUUCGGAGGUGACGGAUGGGCAUGCGUAGCAUUAGCUUGUUGGUGAGGUAACGGCUCAGCAAGGCGACGAUGCUUAGGGGGACUGAGAGGUUUUCCCCCCACACUGGUACUGAGACACGGACCAGACUCCUACGGGAGGCAGCAGUGAGGAUAUUGGUCAAUGGGCGCAAGCCUGAACCAGCCAUGCCGCGUGCAGGAUGACGGCUCUAUGAGUUGUAAACUGCUUUUGUACGAGGGUAAAGUGGGUUACGUGUAACCUUUUGAAAGUAUCGUACGAAUAAGGAUCGGCUAACUCCGUGCCAGCCGCCGCAGUAA
rnacentral:rRNA from 1 species